UGAUCUAAAUUCGGAUGCUUGGCCACUGGCUCAUAUUUACGAUGGUUGCAGGGUCCUGGGAUCAGGUGAUCCCCUUUCACAACCUUCUAACAAGCUGAGUCAACGGGGGAGCCACCUUCACUGAGCAAUCUUC